rnacentral:lncRNA from 1 species
UUUGAUCAACAUCUUCCAUUUCAUCCUAACAAGCAAUAGAAUUACAAAUUAAUUUUUUUGACACAGUCCAAACAUAGUUGAAAUUCACAGCGUGCACAUUCGAGUACUAAUAUGACGUCUUGGCCAUGACAACGACUACAUGAGGAUAGAUAAUGGAUAUUUUUGUUUUUAACAAAUGUUAGGAUGUGUGGAUGAAUAUCAAGUACUAGUAGUGUACUCCCUAACUUGACAUUAUGAGGUGGAUGAAGGCAAUAGGUAUGAAAAGAUUGAUCACAUUCAGCACAAUGAUAGAGCCAGAAUUUUGGGUCUACUUCCUCCUCGCAGAUCUCGCAGUAAAUAAUGCCUUGACAAUCGAAAGGAGACUUUUUCAAGGGAAUGGGGUGAGGAUCCCAUCUAUGUCUGACCUCACUUGGAUAUUGUGCGCAAUUUAUAUGAAUUCUAAAACUGUUGCAGGUUUCACACAUGAAUUCCAUUUGCGAAAAGAUACCCUCGUCACAUGCGUUGCACCGAAAGUACUCGGAUGGUGCAUAUUGUUGAACUAGGGGGUGCUUGUGGAAGGCAUGUUUGAUCUUGGUAGGUAGAAAAGCACAACCAGUAUCAACCGUGAUAUCACAAGUCUCGCACAGAUAACAGAAUCCAUUGGUCAACAAGUGACAAGUGUCACAUACGACAUGGUUAAACAAAUUAUCAACUCUAUGCUUUGAGAGCGAAUGUUCCGGGUGGCGUGGGCAUUCUCCUACAGGCAACUCUGGUGGCAGCUCGGCACAAACUCUGUGAAGAAAGAUACUGCAUCCAAUACAGCCAUAAAAUGGAUGGGCAGUCGAGACGGGUUUUACACACCCAUCGCAAAGAAUUUCAUCAUCAUUAUUCUUAAAACUACUUUGAUCAAAUUCUUCCAGAAGGAGUAAUGCAUGCUCCCUAUGGCUCUCGUGGUAGAUUAAGUGAUCAGGCGUUGUUUCUAUGAUCAUUUUUUCAGUACCUUCUUCUUCGCCUAGAUUAAUAAUAUUGGUCUUGCCAAUAUGGUCUGUUAUUAGAUCCAAUAACGAUUCCUUAUUAUCCACCGGAAAGUGUAUCAAAUUAGGUAUGUCAUGGUCUGCUGCAAUCUCUUCUUCACAAUAUCUGAAACCACAAAUUAGUUAUAUAUGCCAUGCUAGAGUAGUAAGAAUUUCAAGUAAGCAUUAAUUGCUUAGUUUUCUUAAUACUUGUAGUAAUACAUUAAGACGUGAGUCAUAAAAGAUGAAAAGAAAGAAAGAAAUAAAAAUAGUAGUAAAACAAACCAAAUAAUUACUACAAAUUAGCACACACCUUGAAGAAUAUUCUUCCUCCGACAAUUUACCACAUUCCAUGUGCACAAAAUAUCUGCAUUUAUCACAAUAGUAAACCCAAGAGUUUUGCAACACGUCUUCGUUGCAGAGGCAGCAAAGUGGGAUACUCUUACGAUCCAUGUCAGGCAGAGAAUAUUUGAGGAAUAGAGGGUGACGGUGAAAACUAGGUGUGACGGUGGUUGGUGAAAAAGCACAAGUACUAUGGAUCCAAAAUGCACAUACGUGACAUUCAUAAGAGAAGUCCUCAGCUUUCAUGCCGCAAGCAUCACAUAAAAACAAGGCUUUCCUAGGCCAAAAGGUAAAUUCGUGCUUGUGUCCAUCAUGACGAAUCAAUCGAUCCUUACAUGUCAAGCACACGUCAAAGUUACAAGAAAGACAAGUGUACGUGAACCAAUUGGACACGCGGUUACAAAUAUCACAAAUGGUCGUAUCCGUUCCAUAACUACCCAAACGUGCGUGGAGGGUAAGAGGAUGUUGAUCGUGUAGAGGGUGAUGAAUUUCAUCGGGUAAUUCUGCACAGGUUUUGUGCAGGUAGAAAUCACAACCAUCUCUAGUGCAUAAAUAUACUGCAGCAUGACCAGAGGUGAGGCGGCCUCCAACGACUGGAUUUCGACACCCAUAACACACAACUAAUUCCUUUCCAAUAUGUUGAAUUAGCUCCACCUGCUCUUUGAGGAUCAGUGAGUGCUCAUGGCUAACAUGUUGAAGCUCCAUCCCUAAGUUAAAAUGUAUGUGUGGAGAGUUAAUUUGAUAGUUUAAUUUGAGCAAAUUAAAUAGCGGAUCCCCUCCCUCCAUAUAUAUAUAUAUAUAUAUAAAUAUAAACGACUAUAUAUAUUUCAUUCUCCAAAAAUAUCCAAACUCUAUUUAAUAGUAACAACUACCAAUACAGCUAUUAAACAUGACUGACCAAUAAUGCAUGUCACAGCUAGCAAUAAAUGCAUGUCACAACUAGCAAUAAUUAUUAAUUCAUAUCAAUUUGAUCUUGUCAACCUUGAUAUACUUACGGAAGAGAAUUCGAUGGUGAGAGAAUAAUUUUUUAUCCUUUGAAGUUAAAGAGGAUAUAAUGGACGGUGAGAUUUAUCCCAAACUUUGGACGAUUCUGAUCGUUUAUUAGGGUGAGUGAAAAAUUCAAAAUUAAUUAUGUUUUAUUAAUUAUAUAUAUAUAAAACAAAAUACAACUUAACUGUCACUGCUCAGUUUUUACGUAUUGCUCAUGUGAAGAAUAAAACAUAUGAACCAGCUGCUCCAAGACAUUUUCAUACAAAGAUUCACCUCUCUGCUCCUUAGACAGAUCUUGGUUUGAAUCAAUAUGUUGAAUAAAAUUUUACUUGAAUCUCCUUGAUUUUAACCGUAAAUGUCCAAUUAUUAUACUACUACUAGUUAACAAAAUAAUGAUUCUCCUUCAAAUUUCAAUGUAGUCUGUUUGAAUAAAAAUUCUUGCAGAGUCCGCCAUUCUUGGGUCUACUUCCUCCUCGCAGAUCUCGCAGUAAAUAAUGCCUUGACAAAAGAAAGGAGGGUAUUUCAAGGGAAUGGGGUGAGGAUCCCAUCUAUGUCUGACCCUACUUGGAUAUUGUGCGCAAUCUAUAUGAAUUCUAAAACUGUUGCAGGUUUCACAAAUGAAUUCCAUGUACCGUGAAGAGAUAAAUCGGCAACAUGCCUUGCACCGAAAGUACUCGGAUGGUGCAUGUUGAACUAGAGGGUGCUUGUGAGAUUUAUGUUUGAUCUUGGUAGGUAGAAAAGCACAACCAGUAUCAACCGUGAAAUUACAAGUCUCGCACCGAAAAUAGAAUCCAUUGGUCGACAAGUUACAAGUGGUACAUUUGACGCAGUUAAAAAAAUUAUCAACUCUAUGCUUUGAGAGCGAAUGUUCCGGGUGGCGUGGGCAUUCUCCUACAGGCAACUCGGGUGGCAGCUCGGCACAAACUCUGUGAAGAAAGAUACUGCAUCCAAUACAGCCAUAAAAUGGAUGGGCAGUCGAGACGGGUUUUACACACCCAUCGCAAAGAAUUUCAUCAUCAUUAUUCUUAAAACUACUUUGAUCAAAUUCUUCCAGAAGGAGUAAUGCAUGCUCCCUAUGGCUCUCGUGGUAGAUUAAGUGAUCAGGCGUUGUUUCUAUGAUCAUUUUUUCAGUACCUUCUUCUUCGCCUAGAUUAAUAAUAUUGGUCUUGCCAAUAUGGUCUGUUAUUAGAUCCAAUAACGAUUCCUUAUUAUCCACCGGAAAGUGUAUCAAAUUAGGUAUGUCAUGGUCUGCUGCAAUCUCUUCUUCACAAUAUCUGAAACCACAAAUUAGUUAUAUAUGCCAUGCUAGAGUAGUAAGAAUUUCAAGUAAGCAUUAAUUGCUUAGUUUUCUUAAUACUUGUAGUAAUACAUUAAGACGUGAGUCAUAAAAGAUGAAAAGAAAGAAAGAAAUAAAAAUAGUAGUAAAACAAACCAAAUAAUUACUACAAAUUAGCACACACCUUGAAGAAUAUUCUUCCUCCGACAAUUUACCACAUUCCAUGUGCACAAAAUAUCUGCAUUUAUCACAAUAGUAAACCCAAGAGUUUUGCAACACGUCUUCGUUGCAGAGGCAGCAAAGUGGGAUACUCUUACGAUCCAUGUCAGGCAGAGAAUAUUUGAGGAAUAGAGGGUGACGGUGAAAACUAGGUGUGACGGUGGUUGGUGAAAAAGCACAAGUACUAUGGAUCCAAAAUGCACAUACGUGACAUUCAUAAGAGAAGUCCUCAGCUUUCAUGCCGCAA